AAUGGGUCAGCGACUUAUAUUCUGUAGCAAGGUUAACCGAAUAGGGGAGCCGAAGGGAAACCGAGUCUUAACUGGGCGUUAAGUUGCAGGGUAUAGACCCGAAACCCGGUGAUCUAGCCAUGGGCAGGUUGAAGGUUGGGUAACACUAACUGGAGGACCGAACCGACUAAUGUUGAAAAAUUAGCGGAUGACUUGUGGCUGGGGGUGAAAGGCCAAUCAAACCGGGAGAUAGCUGGUUCUCCCCGAAAGCUAUUUAGGUAGCGCCUCGUGAAUUCAUCUCCGGGGGUAGAGCACUGUUUCGGCAAGGGGGUCAUCCCGACUUACCAACCCGAUGCAAACUGCGAAUACCGGAGAAUGUUAUCACGGGAGACACACGGCGGGUGCUAACGUCCGUCGUGAAGAGGGAAACAACCCAGACCGCCAGCUAAGGUCCCAAAGUCAUGGUUAAGUGGGAAACGAUGUGGGAAGGCCCAGACAGCCAGGAUGUUGGCUUAGAAGCAGCCAUCAUUUAAAGAAAGCGUAAUAGCUCACUGGUCGAGUCGGCCUGCGCGGAAGAUGUAACGGGGCUAAACCAUGCACCGAAGCUGCGGCAGCGACGCUUAUGCGUUGUUGGGUAGGGGAGCGUUCUGUAAGCCUGUGAAGGUGUGCUGUGAGGCAUGCUGGAGGUAUCAGAAGUGCGAAUGCUGACAUAAGUAACGAUAAAGCGGGUGAAAAGCCCGCUCGCCGGAAGACCAAGGGUUCCUGUCCAACGUUAAUCGGGGCAGGGUGAGUCGACCCCUAAGGCGAGGCCGAAAGGCGUAGUCGAUGGGAAACAGGUUAAUAUUCCUGUACUUGGUGUUACUGCGAAGGGGGGACGGAGAAGGCUAUGUUGGCCGGGCGACGGUUGUCCCGGUUUAAGCGUGUAGGCUGGUUUUCCAGGCAAAUCCGGAAAAUCAAGGCUGAGGCGUGAUGACGAGGCACUACGGUGCUGAAGCAACAAAUGCCCUGCUUCCAGGAAAAGCCUCUAAGCAUCAGGUAACAUCAAAUCGUACCCCAAACCGACACAGGUGGUCAGGUAGAGAAUACCAAGGCGCUUGAGAGAACUCGGGUGAAGGAACUAGGCAAAAUGGUGCCGUAACUUCGGGAGAAGGCACGCUGAUAUGUAGGUGAAGUCCCUCGCGGAUGGAGCUGAAAUCAGUCGAAGAUACCAGCUGGCUGCAACUGUUUAUUAAAAACACAGCACUGUGCAAACACGAAAGUGGACGUAU
rnacentral:rRNA from 1 species